CCUACGGGAGGCAGCAGUGAGGAAUAUUGGUCAAUGGACGCGAGUCUGAACCAGCCAAGUCGCGUGCAGGAUGACUGCCCUAUGGGUUGUAAACUUCUUUUAUAUGGGGAUAAACUGUGACACGUGUGGCUUUUUGUAUGUACCUUAUGAAUAAGGAUCGGCUAACUCCGUGCCAGCAGCCGCGGUAAUACGGAGGAUACGAGCGUUAUCCGGAUUUAUUGGGUUUAAAGGGAGCGUAGGCGGACUGUUAAGUCAGUGGUGAAAGUCUGCGGCUCAACCGUGGAAUUGCAGUUGAAACUGGCGGUCUGGAGUACAGUUGAGGUAGGCGGAAUGCGUGGUGUAGCGGUGAAAUGCUUAGAUAUCACGAAGAACUCCGAUUGCGAAGGCAGCUUACCGAGCUACAACUGACGCUGAGGCACGAAAGUGUGGGUAUCAAACAGGAUUAGAUACCCUAGUAGUC
rnacentral:rRNA from 1 species